UACGUAGGGGGCAAGCGUUGUCCGGAAUUAUUGGGCGUAAAGAGCUCGUAGGUGGUUUGUCGCGUUGUUCGUGAAAACUCACAGCUCAACCGUGGGCGUGCGGGCGAUACUGGCAGACUGGAGUACUGCAGGGGAGACUGGAAUUCCUGGUGUAGCGGUGGAAUGCGCAGAUAUCAGGAGGAACACCGGUGGCGAAGGCGGGUCUCUGGGCAGUAACUGACGCUGAGGAGCGAAAGCGUGGGGAGCGAACAGG
rnacentral:rRNA from 1 species